GACGAACCGUGCGAACGUUGUUCGGAAUCACUGGGCUUAAAGGGCGCGUAGGCGGGCUGCCAAGUCAGGGGUGAAAUCCUGCGGCUCAACCGUAGAAGUGCCUUUGAUACUGGUGGCCUUGAGGGAGGUAGGGCGUGCGGAACUUCCGGUGGAGCGGUGAAAUGCGUAGAUAUCGGAAGGAACACCGGUGGCGAAAGCGGCGCGCUGGACCUCUUCUGACGCUGAGGCGCGAAAGCCAGGGGAGCGAACGGG
rnacentral:rRNA from 1 species